GACGUAGGGGGCAAGCGUUGUCCGGAAUUAUUGGGCGUAAAGAGCGCGUAGGCGGUCCGAUAAGUCGGCUGUGAAAGUCAGGGACUCAACCCUUGGAAGCCGGCCGAUACUGUCGGACUAGAGUCCGGAAGAGGCAAGUGGAAUUCCCGGUGUAGCGGUGAAAUGCGCAGAUAUCGGGAGGAACACCAAUGGCGAAGGCAGCUCGCUGGGACGGUACUGACGCUGAGGCGCGAAAGCGUGGGGAGCAAACAGG
rnacentral:rRNA from 1 species